AAUAGAUACCCGGGUAGUCCACGCCGUAAACGAUGAGUGCUAAGUGUUAGAGGGUUUCCGCCCUUUAGUGCUGCAGCUAACGCAUUAAGCACUCCGCCUGGGGAGUACGGCCGCAAGGCUGAAACUCAAAGGAAUUGACGGGGGCCCGCACAAGCGGUGGAGCAUGUGGUUUAAUUCGAAGCAACGCGAAGAACCUUACCAGGUCUUGACAUCCUCUGCCAACUCUAGAGAUAGGGCGUUCCCCUUCGGGGGACAGAGUGACAGGCGGUGCAUGGUUGUCGUCAGCUCGUGUCGUGAGAUGUUGGGUUAAGUCCCGCAACGAGCGCAACCCUUGAUCUUAGUUGCCAGCAUUCAGUUGGGCACUCUAAGGUGACUGCCAGUGACAAACCGGAGGAAGGUGGGGAUGACGUCAAAUCAUCAUGCCCCUUAUGACCUGGGCUACACACGUGCUACAAUGGAUGGUACAAAGAGCUGCGAACCCGCGAGGGUAAGCGAAUCUCAUAAAGCCAUUCUCAGUUCGGAUUGUA
rnacentral:rRNA from 1 species